UGGGGAAUUUUGGACAAUGGGCGGAAGCCUGAUCCAGCCAUGCCGCGUGAGUGAAGAAGGCCUUCGGGUUGUAAAGCUCUUUCGGUGGGGAAGAAAUUGCACGGGCUAAUAUCCUGUGUAGAUGACGGUACCCGACUAAGAAGCACCGGCUAACUACGUGCCAGCAGCCGCGGUAAUACGUAGGGUGCGAGCGUUAAUCGGAAUUACUGGGCGUAAAGCGUGCGCAGGCGGUUUGGUAAGUCAGAUGUGAAAGCCCCGGGCUCAACCUGGGAACUGCAUUUGAGACUGCCAGGCUGGAGUGUGGCAGAGGGGGGUGGAAUUCCACGUGUAGCAGUGAAAUGCGUAGAGAUGUGGAGGAACACCGAUGGCGAAGGCAGCCCCCUGGGUCACUACUGACGCUCAUGCACGAAAGCGUGGGGAGCAAACAGG
rnacentral:rRNA from 2 species